AGUGAACGCUGGCGGCGUGCCUAAUACAUGCAAGUCGAACGCUUUUUCUUUCACCGGAGCUUGCUCCACCGAAAGAAAAAGAGUGGCGAACGGGUGAGUAACUCGUGGGUAACCUGCCCAUCAGAAGGGGAUAACACUUGGAAACAGGUGCUAAUACCGUAUAACACUAUUUUCCGCAUGGAAGAAAGUUGAAAGGCGCUUUUGCGUCACUGAUGGAUGGACCCGCGGUGCAUUAGCUAGCUGGUGAGGUAACGGCUCACCAAGGCAACGAUGCAGAGCCGACCUGAGAGGGGGAUCGGCCACACUGGGACUGAGACACGGCCCAGACUCCUACGGGAGGCAGCAGUAGGGAAUCUUCGGCAAUGGACGAAAGUCUGACCGAGCAACGCCGCGUGAGUGAAGAAGGUUUUCGGAUCGUAAAACUCUGUUGUUAGAGAAGAACAAGGAUGAGAGUAAAACGUUCAUCCCUUGACGGUAUCUAACCAGAAAGCCACGGCUAACUACGUGCCAGCCGCCGCUGUAA
rnacentral:rRNA from 1 species